CCUACGGGUGGCAGCAGUGAGGAAUAUUGGUCAAUGGCCGAGAGGCUGAACCAGCCAAGUCGCGUGAGGGAAGAAUGUCCUAUGGAUUGUAAACCUCUUUUGUCAGGGAGCAAAGUCACCCACGUGUGGGUGUUGGAGAGUACCUGAAGAAAAAGCAUCGGCUAACUACGUGCCAGCAGCCGCGGUAAUACGUAGGUGGCAAGCGUUAUCCGGAUUUACUGGGUGUAAAGGGCGUGUAGGCGGGACUGCAAGUCAGAUGUGAAAACCACGGGCUCAACCUGUGGCCUGCAUUUGAAACUGUAGUUCUUGAGUACUGGAGAGGCAGACGGAAUUCCUAGUGUAGCGGUGAAAUGCGGAGAUAUUAGGAGGAACACCAGUGGCGAAGGCGGUCUGCUGGACAGCAACUGACGCUGAGGCGCGAAAGCGUGGGGAGCAAACAGGAUUAGAUACCCUAGUAGUC
rnacentral:rRNA from 1 species